GACGAACGCUGGCGGCGUGCUUAACACAUGCAAGUCGAACGGUAAGGCCCUUCGGGGUACACGAGUGGCGAACGGGUGAGUAACACGUGGGUGAUCUGCCCUGCACUUCGGGAUAAGCCUGGGAAACUGGGUCUAAUACCGGAUAGGACUCCUGGCUUCAUGGUUGGGGGUGGAAAGCUUUUGCGGUGUGGGAUGGGGCCGCGGCCUACCAGCUUGUUGGUGGGGUAAUGGCCUACCAAGGCGACGACGGGUAGCCGGCCUGAGAGGGUGCCCGGUCACACUGGGACUGAGAUACGGCCCAGACUCCUACGGGAGGCAGAAGUGGGGAAUAUUGCACAAUGGGCGCAAGCCUGAUGCAGCGACGCCGCGUGAGGGAUGACGGCCUUCGGGUUGUAAACCUCUUUCAGCCAUGACGAAGCGCAAGUGACGGUAGUAGCAGAAGAAGGACCGGCCAACUACGUGCCAGCCGCCGCCGUAAAAC
rnacentral:rRNA from 1 species